AUAGCUUCUUUGCCUUUUGGUUAAAAAUCAAAUGUAGUACCUAUUCUUAGAGUUUACUAUCUGAUGCUUCCUCUGCCCAGGGCAAUCUAUUAAAUGGAUUUUGGGCUCUGGGAGAUGAAAUUGCUCUGUCCACUUCACCUAUAGACUUGGAAUUGCAGUACCUCCAAGAAAGGUGCAUCCCUA
ensembl:snRNA U2 U2 spliceosomal RNA